CCUAUUUUUCUCUCAGUCCAAGCUUACAACCAAGUUCCUGGGCUGCACCAUAUGUGUACUACCAGGACACCUCACAGUGAACACCAUCUUUGCUGCAAUGUUCAAAUGCCAGAGCAAGGUGACAUUUUUCAGUGCCAAAAGAAAGAAUGAGGAGGUUCUGGCUCUACAGAUAGUUAGAAAGGUUUUGGGUUUUCAAAUAAAGGAGCUGAAGAAGCUGAAAGAUUUAAGCAGCAUAUAUGGUACAAAAAACAAUCUGAAGUGAACACCACUCAGGUCACUGACUUUUGGAUUAACGUUUCUGUGCCAAAUCUAAAGAACAAGUUUUAUGCCUGCAGGUAGGAGCUGUAACACCAGUAAUCAUUCAAUUAUAGACAACAGGCAGAGCCUUUUGACCAGUUACAGGCAAAAUGGGGGAAAAUAUCCAGAAGACCUGAAGACCCUGCAUUCAGGUGUGCCCUUACAGCUCUCUUGC